GCUACUCUACUAAAGUACAAGAGCAAAACUAACAUCAGAAGAGAGAAUCUUGUUCAGCACUGAAAUCGGAAGAAUGACAACAAUGGAACUUUAAGGCCCCAACAAGGUCAAGAGAGACUGCUGGAUCACCGUCGGAGUGAUUGCAGCGGCAUUCAUCAGAAACCCAGCUGUGACAGUUUCUUGAAAACAGUCAAAUCAACCUGGAAACACAGAGAAAUCCCAUAAUGCGCCUGUGAUCUAUGUAUCAUGUGAACAUUGCUACUGAGGAAACAUUCAUCAAGCAGCAGUAUCUGUUUGGUUCUCCUCAAAAGUUCUACAUCCAAACAGACAUCUGCCCUUCAAGGUAUCUAUGGUUGCAGCUCCUGAAAUAAAAUCUCUUUCCUCUCCUAAAGGCCUCUUUCCUGCUGGAGCCAUGGAGUGUGACAAUGGUGUUUGUAUCCAAUCUGUCAAACGCCAUUAUCACACUAAAUAGCUACUGUUCGAUAACUCAUCAGCUGAGCAAAGGAGAGGAAGAAAAUUAUUUCCACGGUACAUUUCCUGGCAAAGCUGGAGGAAUGAGAGAACAACAUGCCAGGGCAACUCUCUGCUUUUGAUCAGUGCAUCCCGCAAUAAAUAAAACGGCUUGCCAAAAGCCCUUUCUUUAAAGUGCUCUUUGUGAUCCUGCUUGUUGUGUUAAGAUGUGCGUGAGUCAUUUUGCGUUCAUGGAUUGCAAAGAUACUUCAGUGAUCAGCACAAGCAAUUAUGUAUAUUCGGUCUUACAUUACAAGAAUCAGCCUACACAACUGUCGUACUUUUUUUUUAAAAAGCAUUGUACGUGCUUGUUCCCUUUAUUAACAAGUUAAUAAUCACGUCUAUUUUCGUCUGGAACAGGAGCUCCAUUGUCGUAUUGACUUUUGAUGAACGAGUUUGAGAAUUGAGGCACAAUUCCAUUCUUGGCGCUCUGCUGUAUACAGCUCAGCUGUGUAUACAUUCAUCAUUUCGCCAAAGACUGAAGGGAAUUUCUGCCAACCUGUCAGGCUGUCUGGCUAUUGGCAAGAAAGCAACCAAGAUCCAUUUCCAUAAUUGCUAUAUAAAUAUUCCAUAGGUAUGGAGAUCUUAUUAAAACCAACGGGGAGAACGAGAUGCUGGGUGCCAGUACCUGCGAAGCUUCCAGCUUAUGCCAAAGAAGACAUUACAGCUGAUGCUCUGUUCCCAGUCAAGCACUUGCCCCCAUCCCUAUACUACUUGAUCUGUGACAGAAAUAAAAUUAAAGCAAUCUUUCCCAUGUUUUGCAGCCACAAAGCCAUGUUUCCCACUGAGUAGGGAGCGUGGCCAGUUGGUGAUGAGUAUACCUGUACGAGACAUAUGUUUGCAAACAUGUAUUUGUUAUAUUCACACUUUGUUUUUAGUGUAUGCAACACACAAUGUGUGAAGUGUCCGUAAGGUAUUGUAAUAUUUGCAUUAAUUAAAAGAAUAUUCUGCGUGAAAGCAAAAACAUUA